GCGCAGCAGCAGAUGUUGGUUGUAUGAGACGACAGGUAAGCUUGACCCUCAGGACAUUUAUCCAGAUGAAGGUCUGCUCUGCAGCUUUGACCUUUUGGUGGAGUUUUUGAGACAUUUUCCUCAUAUUUUGAAGAGCAGAGAUGUUCUUAUCUUC